rnacentral:rRNA from 1 species
AAUGAACGCUGGCGGCGUGCCUAACACAUGCAAGUCGUGCGCGAACGGGACUUCGGUCCCUAGUAGAGCGGCGAACGGGUGAGUAACACGUGGGUAACCUGCCUGGGAGUGGGGGAUAACCUGGGGAAACUCGGGCUAAUACCGCAUACGUUCCCGGAGCUACGGCUCCGGGAGGAAAGAUGGCCUCUGCUUGCAAGCUAUCUCUCCCAGAGGGGCCCGCGGCUGAUUAGCUAGUUGGUGAGGUAACGGCUCACCAAGGCGACGAUCAGUAGCCGGCCUGAGAGGGUGAUCGGCCACACUGGAACUGAGACACGGUCCAGACUCCUGCGGGAGGCAGCAGUGGGGAAUAUUGGACAAUGGGGGAAACCCUGAUCCAGCAACGCCGCGUGGGGGAUGAAGGUCUUCGGAUUGUAAACCCCUGUUGGGAGGGGCGAAGGUUUGAGGGCAAACAGCCUUCAAACUUGACGGUACCCCGAGAGGAAGCCCCGGCUAACUCUGUGCCAGCCGCCGCCGUAAAAC